AGAGUUUGAUCAUGGCUCAGAUUGAACGCUGGCGGCAGGCCUAACACAUGCAAGUCGAACGGUAACAGGAAACAGCUUGCUGUUUCGCUGACGAGUGGCGGACGGGGGAGUAAUGUCUGGGAAACUGCCUGAUGGAGGGGGAUAACUACUGGAAACGGUAGCUAAUACCGCAUAACGUCGCAAGACCAAAGAGGGGGACCUUCGGGCCUCUUGCCAUCGGAUGUGCCCAGAUGGGAUUAGCUAGUAGGUGGGGUAACGGCUCACCUAGGCGACGAUCCCUAGCUGGUCUGAGAGGAUGACCAGCCACACUGGAACUGAGACACGGUCCAGACUCCUACGGGAGGCAGCAGUGGGGAAUAUUGCACAAUGGGCGCAAGCCUGAUGCAGCCAUGCCGCGUGUAUGAAGAAGGCCUUCGGGUUGUAAAGUACUUUCAGCGGGGAGGAAGGGAGUAAAGUUAAUACCUUUGCUCAUUGACGUUACCCGCAGAAGAAGCACCGGCUAACUCCGUGCCAGCAGCCGCGGUAAUACGGAGGGUGCAAGCGUUAAUCGGAAUUACUGGGCGUAAAGCGCACGCAGGCGGUUUGUUAAGUCAGAUGUGAAAUCCCCGGGCUCAACCUGGGAACUGCAUCUGAUACUGGCAAGCUUGAGUCUCGUAGAGGGGGGUAGAAUUCCAGGUGUAGCGGUGAAAUGCGUAGAGAUCUGGAGGAAUACCGGUGGCGAAGGCGGCCCCCUGGACGAAGACUGACGCUCAGGUGCGAAAGCGUGGGGAGCAAACAGGAUUAGAUACCCUGGUAGUCCACGCCGUAAACGAUGUCGACUUGGAGGUUGUGCCCUUGAGGCGUGGCUUCCGGAGCUAACGCGUUAAGUCGACCGCCUGGGGAGUACGGCCGCAAGGUUAAAACUCAAAUGAAUUGACGGGGGCCCGCACAAGCGGUGGAGCAUGUGGUUUAAUUCGAUGCAACGCGAAGAACCUUACCUGGUCUUGACAUCCACAGAACUUUCCAGAGAUGGAUUGGUGCCUUCGGGAACUGUGAGACAGGUGCUGCAUGGCUGUCGUCAGCUCGUGUUGUGAAAUGUUGGGUUAAGUCCCGCAACGAGCGCAACCCUUAUCCUUUGUUGCCAGCGGUCCGGCCGGGAACUCAAAGGAGACUGCCAGUGAUAAACUGGAGGAAGGUGGGGAUGACGUCAAGUCAUCAUGGCCCUUACGACCAGGGCUACACACGUGCUACAAUGGCGCAUACAAAGAGAAGCGACCUCGCGAGAGCAAGCGGACCUCAUAAAGUGCGUCGUAGUCCGGAUUGGAGUCUGCAACUCGACUCCAUGAAGUCGGAAUCGCUAGUAAUCGUGGAUCAGAAUGCCACGGUGAAUACGUUCCCGGGCCUUGUACACACCGCCCGUCACACCAUGGGAGUGGGUUGCAAAAGAAGUAGGUAGCUUAACCUUCGGGAGGGCGCUUACCACUUUGUGAUUCAUGACUGGGGUGAAGUCGUAACAAGGUAACCGUAGGGGAACCUGCGGUU
rnacentral:rRNA from 1 species